rnacentral:rRNA from 1 species
GUGGAGCAUGUGGCUUAAUUUGACUCAACGCGGGGAAUCUUACUAGGUCCGGACCGAUUCUAUGAUCGUCGUACUGUGGGGUGCUACGUGAUUACUGGAUGAGUGGUGCAUGGCCGUUCUUAGUUCGUGGUGUUAAUUGUCUACUUAAUUGUCAUCGGUUCUCGUAUCAUGCGAGACCUGAUAACGAACGAGAUCGAGACCCGUGGUUGCGUAUGUUUGAAUUCGGUAUUACUACGGGGAUCGCGUAUUACUCCACGGUACGAUCGAAAGACUCGGCAAUAACAGGUCUGUGAUGCCCUCAGAUGUUCUAGGCUGCACACGUGCUACAGUGUGGCGCUGUGUCGUGUGUGUAUGCAUAGAUAUCUGAUAAGAUCCCCCGCACCGAGUCAUAACUGGUCACACGGUUGGACUCACCGAUUGUCAAUUAUUCGGUAUACUAA